rnacentral:rRNA from 1 species
GGGCGUUAAGUUGCAGGGUAUAGACCCGAAACCCGGUGAUCUAGCCAUGGGCAGGUUGAAGGUUGGGUAACACUAACUGGAGGACCGAACCGACUAAUGUUGAAAAAUUAGCGGAUGACUUGUGGCUGGGGGUGAAAGGCCAAUCAAACCGGGAGAUAGCUGGUUCUCCCCGAAAGCUAUUUAGGUAGCGCCUCGUGAAUUCAUCUCCGGGGGUAGAGCACUGUUUCGGCAAGGGGGUCAUCCCGACUUACCAACCCGAUGCAAACUGCGAAUACCGGAGAAUGUUAUCACGGGAGACACACGGCGGGUGCUAACGUCCGUCGUGAAGAGGGAAACAACCCAGACCGCCAGCUAAGGUCCCAAAGUCAUGGUUAAGUGGGAAACGAUGUGGGAAGGCCCAGACAGCCAGGAUGUUGGCUUAGAAGCAGCCAUCAUUUAAAGAAAGCGUAAUAGCUCACUGGUCGAGUCGGCCUGCGCGGAAGAUGUAACGGGGCUAAACCAUGCACCGAAGCUGCGGCAGCGACACUAUGUGUUGUUGGGUAGGGGAGCG